UCUUAUUUUUAAAAUGCAGAAUUAGAGGUAUGGACCCUUCCUCGGAAUGCUAAAAGCAAUAUACAGAUGAAGACAAACGACUAAAAGAUAAGCUGGUGGUCACUGUUUCUACAAAAAGACACCUAAAGACCAGAUCCCUAUGCCAGAGAAACCACCUGCCAAGACUAGUGUGGAAAGAACAGAAAGGAAGAGAGGAAAAUAAGCUGGAGAAGCCAAGGGAACAGGUCAUUCCCCUGCUCCCCAGAAAACUCUCCCAACCAAGAUUAAAAUUGCUGAAACAAACCCUGCAAUCUGACCAGACACCCUGAGGACAGUGUUCGUGGGAGACAAAGCUCAAGCGAUUGGCUGGAGCUUCCCAGGUGAUUCUAAAGGGGAACCAGAGCUCAGAAGCACUGAGAUAAAUGAAUGCUAGCUCCUGUGUGGCCCUGAAGGAGGUAGAGGAAUUGGUUCCUGGAACAUGGCUCCUGAAACCAUUGGAAUCUCUGGAAUGAUGUCUUUUGUGUGGUGAUGAGAUGACUGGUGCCUGGAAACCCCUAGUUAAGCUUCAGGAGGGGGCAUGGUCCCAGAAGGACCAAGGCACGAUUACAAGCUCCAGAGAAAUCCCUAAAGGACUGGGUUGAGAAAGGGCCCAGGUUGGUGACUAUAUCAAGGUUCCGGGAGAGGGGCAAACCUGGAGCGGUCACGAAGUGCUACAGCCUUGACCCCACGCCUCGCCCUAUGUAUCGCUUCUGUUUGGCUGUUCCUGAAUUGUACCCUUUAUAACAAAAGGAUUAUGGUAAGUAAAGUGUUUUCCCCUGAGUCCUGAGUUGUUCUGGCCAAUUACAUAACCUGAAGGGGGGAGAGGAGAUUGUGGGAAUCCCCCGACUUUGUAGCCAGUCAGACAGAAGUGACCAGGGAUCCAACAAUACUUGCAACUAAUGAUGUCUGAAGCAGGACGAGGGGGUGAUCUUG